rnacentral:rRNA from 1 species
AGAGUUUGAUCCUGGCUCAGAACGAACGCUGGCGGCGUGCUUAACACAUGCAAGUCGAACGCGAAAGAAUUCUUCGGAAUUUGAGUAGAGUGGCGCACGGGUGAGUAACGCGUAAGUAAUCUACCCUGGUAUCUGGGAUAACUCACCGAAAGGUGUGCUAAUACCGGAUACGCUGAGUAAUCAGGAAAGGUGGCCUCUUCAUGAGAGCUACUGUACCAGGAGGAGCUUGCGUACCAUUAGCUAGUUGGUAGGGUAAUGGCCUACCAAGGCAACGAUGGUUAGCGGGUCUGAGAGGAUGAUCCGCCACACUGGAACUGAAACACGGACCAGACUCCUACGGGAGGCAGCAGUGAGGAAUAUUGCGCAAUGGGGGAAACCCUGACGCAGCGACGCCGCGUGGAUGAUGAAGGCCUUCGGGUCGUAAAAUCCUGUCAGAUGGAAAGAAGUGUACGGUGGCUAAUACCCAUUGUAUUUGACGGUACCAUCAAAGGAAGCACCGGCUAACUCCGUGCCAGCAGCCGCGGUAAUA